rnacentral:rRNA from 1 species
AGAGUUUGAUCCUGGCUCAGGAUGAACGCUAGCGGCAGGCCUAACACAUGCAAGUCGAGGGAGAAGCCUUUCGGGGCAGAAACCGGCGCACGGGUGCGUAACGCGUAUGCAACCUACCUUUUACAGGGGGAUAGCCCGAAGAAAUUUGGAUUAAUACCCCAUAAUAUUAUUGUACGACAUCGUUUGAUAAUUAAAGCUGAGGCGGUAGAAGAUGGGCAUGCGUCCUAUUAGCUAGUUGGAGUGGUAACGGCACCCCAAGGCUACGAUAGGUAGGGGUCCUGAGAGGGAGAUCCCCCACACUGGUACUGAGACAGGGACCAGACUCCUACGGGAGGCAGCAGUGAGGAAUAUUGGUCAAUGGUCGGAAGACUGAACCAGCCAUGCCGCGUGCAGGAAGAAUGCCUUAUGGGUUGUAAACUGCUUUUAUAUGGGAAGAAUAAGGAGUACGUGUACUUUGAUGACGGUACCAUAUGAAUAAGCAUCGGCUAACUCCGUGCCAGCAGCCGCGGUAAUACGGAGGAUGCGAGCGUUAUUCGGAAUCAUUGGGUUUAAAGGGUCUGUAGGCGGGCUAUUAAGUCAGGGGUGAAAGGUUUCAGCUUAACUGAGAAAUUGCCUUUGAUACUGGUAGUCUUGAAUAUCUGUGAAGUUCUUGGAAUGUGUAGUGUAGCGGUGAAAUGCUUAGAUAUUACACAGAACACCGAUUGCGGAGGCAGGGGACUAACAGACGAUUGACGCUGAGAGACGAAAGCGUGGGGAGCGAACAGGAUUAGAUACCCUGGUAGUCCACGCUGUAAACGAUGGAUACUAGCUGUUUGGUUGUAAGACUGAGUGGCUAAGCGAAAGUGAUAAGUAUCCCACCUGGGGAGUACGCACGCAAGUGUGAAACUCAAAGGAAUUGACGGGGGCCCGCACAAGCGGUGGAGCAUGUGGUUUAA